AUUGCUUCUCGGCCUUUUGGCUAAGAUCAAGUGUAGUAAAAUUAGGAAAGCUUUGUUUUAUACUUUAAGAUCUUAGCAAAUCAACUAUU
rnacentral:snRNA from 1 species